GAUUUAUUAGCUUUUAAUGCUUUCAUGUACAUGAAAAGCAACUUUACAGAUUUUCCUAUGUACAUACAUUGUUUUAUUACUCAAUGAAUUUUAUUAAUUUAUUGGUGUACAAUGAUCAUCACAACCCAAUUUUAUAGCAUUUCCAUCCCAAACCCCCGGCCAUCCCCACAACCUGUCUCCUUUGGAAACCAUAAGGUAAGUCAGCAUCUGUUCUGCAAAGUUCAUUGUGUCCUUGUUUCGGAUUCCACAUGUCAGUGGAAGCAUUUGACGUUGGUGUCUCGUUGUCUGAUUGACUUCACUUAGCAUGAUGGUUUCUAGGUCCAUCCAUGUUGCUAAAAACGCCGGUUUUUAACAGCUGAGUAAUAUUCCCUUGUGUAUGUGUACCACACCUUCUUGAUCCACACCUCUGCCAACAGGCAUUUAGGUUGUUUCCAUGUCUUGGCUGUUGCAAAUACCACUGCAGUGAGCACUGGAGUAUGCGUGUCUUUUUGAGUCAUGGUUUUCUCUGGGUAGAUGCCCAGGAGUGGGAUUGCUGGAUUGAACGGUCGUUCUAUGUUUAGUUUUCUGAGGCAUCUCCAUACUGUUUUCCACAGUGGUUGCACCAAUUUACAAUCCCGCCAACAGUGCAAUAGGGCUCCCUCUUGUCCACACCCUCUCCAGCACUUAUUGUUUGUAGCCUUUUGGAUGAUGGCCCCUCUAGCUGGUGGUACCUCAUAGGGUUUUUGAUUUGCAUUUCUCUAUUUAAUGAGUGAGGUUGAACAUCUUUUCAUGUGUUUUCUGGCCAUCCGUAUGUCUUCUUUGGAGAACUGUUUAGAUCUCCUGCCCAUCUUUUGAUGGGGUGCUUUGUUUUUUCAGUAUUGAGCUGCAGGUGUUUAUAAAUUUUGGGAGAUUAACCCCUUGUCAGCUGCUCUAUCUGCAAAGAUUUUCUCCCAUUCCGUGGUUGUGUCAUUUUGUUAACGACUUCCUUCGCUAGUUCUAUACUAUCCGAUCUCAUAUCUAGGUCCUUAAUCCCUUUUGAGUUGAUUUUGUGUGUGGUGUUGAGUGUUCUAAUUUCAUUCUUCUGUGGGGCCGUCCAGUGUCCCUGCACCACGUAUGGAGGGCUGUCCUCCCUCUGGUUAAAUACCUUUGGCUCAGGGGCUACUCCCUCGUCUAGAAAUGCUGCCUCCCCUUCCUCUCCCACCAGCCCUGCCUGAGCGGGCUUGCUGAGGCGCUCCAUGGGCUGAGGGCCCCCAGUCCCUGGCCAGAGUGGGAGGGCACAGCUACACCUUCCAGCUGGCAAGCCUCUGGCUGGGGGCGGGUCCAGACCCGGGCAGGUGUACAUUGCUUGCUUCCUCAGGGCUCCCAGGCCCCAGCGGACGGCCUCGCCCCUCGCCCUCCAGGAGGGAAGGCCGAGGGAGGGCCGAGCUGAGCACGGAGCGGGUGAGUGGCAGUGGGGUGGGGUCCUGCCCCCCCAGGCGUCUCGGUGUUUGUCAGCCCAGCUUCAACCCCAGAUGUUUGCUCUCGGCCCCGGGAGCUGGAGUGUGUCAAGGUGCCGGCUGGGCUGGCUGCGUCCUCAUGUGGCCCUUCCUCUGCUGCAUCCCGGCGGCUGUCCUUUAUUGUCGUUGUAGUUGACUGACUGUGCUGUCGAUUUCUCUGUACAGCACAGUGCCUGGCGUCUAUUCGGGUGAGGACGCUGUACCCCCCCACCCCUCCCCGCCUUGUGACUUCAUCUCAUCUGCACACACAGCCACACUGCGGGGAGGGCUUCAACCUGGGAGUUUUGGGGACACUGCAGGCACAGCUCUGUCGACACAGGAAGGAAGCAGCAGGUGCAGAGGGACGGGGGCAGUUGUGGGGGGAGGGGCAGACCUGGCUCCGCGGUGGGAGCCGGCAGAGGGCUGGGGGCAGGAGACCACCAGAGAAGCCGUCGCCGGCCUCUGUCCCCCUCUGACAAGAAGGACGCGGAGGCCCAGGCCCGGCGGCCUAACCCUGGCCUGCGGUCCACACCAUGGGUCAGCGCCUUUGUUGUCAGCUGGAGGUGGCACUGUCUCCACAAGAACCACCUUUGGGGACCUUUGCCAUGACGGUGCCAGCUGCGGACCGGGCCUGUUUCUGACUGUCCCGCAGGUUUUCCCAGCCUUAAGGAGUCAUAACAAAAAACAAACCAAAGAAGAGUCUUCAAGUGCUUCCUACCUGGCCAUCAGGACACCUGCCCACCUGGGCCCGUGUCCCGUCCGGGGUGUCGGGAGCAGGACUGGUCUUUUCUUGUGAGAAUGGUCUACAGGCUGGCAGCUGGGAGGCCUUAAGAGGAGCAGAGGGUGCCCCAGGCAGGAGGCCGAGGGUUCUUCCUUUGGGGCAGAUGGCUCAGGCCUCUAGUUUAAUGGCUCAUUGGGUUGGCAAGUUAGAAACUUAGCUGCCACCCUGUUUCACCUGAGCAGCCCUUGCUCCCAACCAAGCACAGAGACCAUGCUGAAAUGGCAUCUUUCUUUUUUUUUUUUUUUGGUCUUUUGUCUUUUUAGAGCUGCACCCGUGGCAUGUGGAGGUUCCCAGGCUAGGGGUCUGAUCAGAGCUAUAGCUUCUGGCCUAUGCCAGAGCCAUAGCAAUGCCAGAUCCGAGCCACGACUGCGACCUACACCACAGCUCACGGCAACGCCGGAUCCCCAACCCACUGCGCGAGGCCAGGGAUCGAACCCGCAACCUCACGGUUCCUAGUCAGAUUCGUUUCCGCUGCGCCACGACGGGAACUCCUGAAAUGGCAUUUCUACAAGAGACACCGAGGCUUGAGAAAUCUGAGUUUUGCUUUUUCUUGAACAGCAGGAGGAGAAAAAUAAGAAAGUGAGACGGCUCCUUCCUGAAAGGGCGACAGCUCAGGCGUCGGUGUUUGUAACGACCACGGGUGACAAGAAACUAGAGUUCAUGGUUCAGGCAAAUCUUCACAAACUGCCCGCCCCUCUCAGCGACUGGGCUGGGGAGGAAGCCCAGCUCCUUCUCGGCUGCUCAGAACCCCUUGCGCGUGCCCGGGGGCGUGUCUGCCCCCUGCCCAGCAGCGCCCAGCGGGCAGCGUGGCCUGUGGCCUCGUUCACUCGGGGACAGACAUCUGCUGACGCUGCACGUGACCCGUGCAUGUGACCCGCGGGGCUGGGGCUGCCCGCCUGAGGCUCAGGGGAGCGGGACGUGCAGACAGCAGCGCGGAGGGCGCGGCUCACGAAGAACACCGGCCCAAGCUGACAGCCCAGUGGGUCGGCUCUGGGCCACAGUCUCGGGGCGGCAAGGGACAUCCACUCCUUUCCUUCUGAGCGUAGUUAAACCUGACUUUCGCCCCUUCCCCCUGAACCGAGGGGGACUGGCCUUGGCUCUCACUGGCCUCCGUCACCUGCAAGGACCGGAGGCCGAAGGCUCGGGUGUUGCU
rnacentral:lncRNA from 1 species